rnacentral:rRNA from 1 species
UACGUAGGGGGCAAGCGUUGUCCGGAUUUAUUGGGCGUAAAGAGCGUGUAGGCGGCUGGGUAGGUCCGUUGUGAAAACUCGAGGCUCAACCUCGAGACGCCGAUGGAAACCCUCCAGCUAGAGUCCGGAAGAGGAGAGUGGAAUUCCUGGUGUAGCGGUGAAAUGCGCAGAUAUCAGGAGGAACACCGGUGGCGAAGGCGGGUCUCUGGGCCGAAAUUGACGCUGAGGAGCGAAAGCGUGGGGAGCAAACAGG